GAUGAAGAACGUAGCGAAAUGCGAUAACUAAUGUGAAUUGCAGAAUUCAGUGAAUCAUCGAAUCUUUGAACGCACAUUGCGCCCUCUGGUAUUCCGGGGGGCAUGCCUGUUCGAGCGUCAUUAUAACCACUCAAGCUCUCGCUUGGUAUUGGGGUUCGCGGUUCCGCGGCCCCUAAAAUCAGUGGCGGUGCCUGUCGGCUCUACGCGUAGUAAUACUCCUCGCGUCUGGGUCCGGUAGGUCUACUUGCCAGCAACCCCCAAUUUUUACAGGUUGACCUCGGAUCAGGUAGGGAUACCCGCUGAACUUAAGCAUAUCAAUAAGCGGAGGA
rnacentral:misc_RNA from 1 species